rnacentral:rRNA from 1 species
GAUGAACGCUGGCGGCGUGCCUAAUACAUGCAAGUCGAGCGAACGGACGAGAAGCUUGCUUCUCUGAUGUUAGCGGCGGACGGGUGAGUAACACGUGGAUAACCUACCUAUAAGACUGGGAUAACUUCGGGAAACCGGAGCUAAUACCGGAUAAUAUUUUGAACCGCAUGGUUCAAAAGUGAAAGACGGUCUUGCUGCCACUUAUAGAUGGAUCCGCGCUGCAUUAGCUAGUUGGUAAGGUAACGGCUUACCAAGGCAACGAUGCAUAGCCGACCUGAGAGGGUGAUCGGCCACACUGGAACUGAGACACGGUCCAGACUCCUACGGGAGGCAGCAGUAGGGAAUCUUCCGCAAUGGGCGAAAGCCUGACGGAGCAACGCCGCGUGAGUGAUGAAGGUCUUCGGAUCGUAAAACUCUGUUAUUAGGGAAGAACAUAUGUGUAAGUAACUGUGCACAUCUUGACGGUACCUAAUCAGAAAGCCACGGCUAACUACGUGCCAGCAGCCGCGGUAAUACGUAGGUGGCAAGCGUUAUCCGGAAUUAUUGGGCGUAAAGCGCGCGUAGGCGGUUUUUUAAGUCUGAUGUGAAAGCCCACGGCUCAACCGUGGAGGGUCAUUGGAAACUGGAAAACUUGAGUGCAGAAGAGGAAAGUGGAAUUCCAUGUGUAGCGGUGAAAUGCGCAGAGAUAUGGAGGAACACCAGUGGCGAAGGCGACUUUCUGGUCUGUAACUGACGCUGAUGUGCGAAAGCGUGGGGAUCAAACAGGAUUAGAUACCCUGGUAGUCCACGCCGUAAACGAUGAGUGCUAAGUGUUAGGGGGUUUCCGCCCCUUAGUGCUGCAGCUAACGCAUUAAGCACUCCGCCUGGGGAGUACGACCGCAAGGUUGAAACUCAAAGGAAUUGACGGGGACCCGCACAAGCGGUGGAGCAUGUGGUUUAAUUCGAAGCAACGCGAAGAACCUUACCAAAUCUUGACAUCCUUUGACAACUCUAGAGAUAGAGCCUUCCCCUUCGGGGGACAAAGUGACAGGUGGUGCAUGGUUGUCGUCAGCUCGUGUCGUGAGAUGUUGGGUUAAGUCCCGCAACGAGCGCAACCCUUAAGCUUAGUUGCCAUCAUUAAGUUGGGCACUCUAAGUUGACUGCCGGUGACAAACCGGAGGAAGGUGGGGAUGACGUCAAAUCAUCAUGCCCCUUAUGAUUUGGGCUACACACGUGCUACAAUGGACAAUACAAAGGGCAGCGAAACCGCGAGGUCAAGCAAAUCCCAUAAAGUUGUUCUCAGUUCGGAUUGUAGUCUGCAACUCGACUACAUGAAGCUGGAAUCGCUAGUAAUCGUAGAUCAGCAUGCUACGGUGAAUACGUUCCCGGGUCU